GAGGCUGCUCCCGCCGCCACUGCCGCCGGUGCCGGUGCGGGCUUUCGGGGAGGAGGGAGGUGGAGAGAGGAGCCGUCCGCCGGCGAUCAGAGCAUGGAGGUGUCCGGGGGCCAGGUCCAGGGCAGGGCGCCGUCAGCCAUUCAGGGCGGCGGAGCUGGGGAGCGCGGCAGAGGCUGGCGGGGUGCUGAGGCAGUUUGAUCUCCUGUCGCGGCGGCGGAGAAGGAGGAGGAGAAGGAGGAGGUUGCCGGUCGCUGCUCUUUCUCUCCCGAGCUGCUCUCUCUCGCUCUCUGUCUCUCUCGCUCGCUCGCGCUCUCUCUCGCUUUUUUUUUUUUUAAAAAAAAAAAAAGAAAAAAAUUCGCAGAAAAAAUCGGAUGUGACUAAAUUCGCAGAGGAGACGAAUUCACGGCGAAGUGUAAAAAUAGAGAACGGGAAUAAUAAUGACACUUGCAGGAAAAAGAGAGAUCCAAAGUAGGUCGGGUAAAUAAAUCCUCUUCUCUUCCUCUUUCUUGCCCUUUCCUUCUUCUUCUCCAGUGAGAGCGCACGAUGCCGGUUGCGAAGAAAAAAAAAGAAAAUCGGUGGAAAUUGCCCUCAAAAAGAUUCUUUUUUGUUUGUUUGUUUGUUUGCCUAAAAAAAGUAUUUCGGGUAAAAACUCAUCAGCCAGAAGAGAAGCCCUCCCCCAAAAUAAAAAAAAAAAAUAGGCAAGAAUGGUCAAAAUAGUAACGGUAUUAAGAUGUGAACGCGUUCUCUCUUUCUCUCUCCGGACUUUUCCCCCUCCCCCCCAAUUCUCCCUCUCUGUUUUUCCCCCUUUUUUCUUUCUUUCCGAGUUUCUUUUUUUUUUUCUUUUUUUUUAGUUGUUGUUUGGUUUGGGUUUUUUGUUUUUUUUUUCAGUUUCACCUCUCUCUUCUUCUCUUCUCCUGCAGAAAUGAAGCGAAAGGCACAAGGAGGAAGGGUGGAAAAAAGAAGAAAAGGAAGGAGAAGAGGGAGAUGAAGGGGGGGCAAAAAACUAAUAGAAUAUGCAAGAAAGGGGAAGGGGGGAGAGACGGGGAGAGAGGGAGAGAGAGAGGGGGAGAGAGAGAGAGAGAGAGAGAGAGAGAAAGAGAGAGAGACCCAAAAAAUGAAUGCGUUUAAACGGGAAGCCUAGCAGAGCAAUGUUUCCGAAAGGGGGAUCUGCGCGAAUGUCUGUAUAUAGUGAACUUUGACACUACUAUUGAAACUGACACGUUUCUAUGGAGAUCGCUGCCUUAUAUGGAGCUCGUGUCAAGGAGCCAAGAGAAGGGCUGCUGGCAACUGAUAAUCAAAGGCGACUGACUGGUCAGAGCCCUGAAUUGGGGGGAGAGAAAAUGGGAGGCUAAGCUCUGAAAUCUGAGACUGGGAGCCGCCUGGAGAGAAGAAUCCUUCAUCAUUUCUGAGAUCAGAAUAAACGCUUGAUUUUGCCCCGAAA